GGGUCAGUAGGUUGGUCGUGCCACCGGUACGUACUGGUCUCACUGAUUCCUCCUUCCUGAAGAACCAUAAUGCCAUUAAUUUGGUGUUGCGGGGAAACAGGACUGUUACUUUGAAAAAUUAGAGUGUUUAAAGCAAGCUAACGCUUGAAUACAUUAGCAUGGAAUAAUGAAAUAGGACGAUCGAUCCUAUUUUGUUGGUUUCUAGGAUUGACGUA
rnacentral:rRNA from 1 species